UACGUAGGGGGCAAGCGUUGUCCGGAAUCAUUGGGCGUAAAGCGCGUGUAGGCGGCUUGGUAAGUCCGCUCUGAAAGCCCGGGGCUCAACCCCGGGAGGCGGGUGGAUACUGUCAAGCUCGAGUCCGGAAGAGGCGAGUGGAAUUCCUGGUGUAGCGGUGAAAUGCGCAGAUAUCAGGAGGAACACCAAUGGCGAAGGCAGCUCGCUGGGACGUGACUGACGCUGAGAAGCGAAAGCAUGGGGGAGCGAACAGG
rnacentral:rRNA from 1 species